UACGGGGGGGGCAAGCGUUGUUCGGAAUUACUGGGCGUAAAGGGCGCGUAGGCGGCCUGCUAAGUCGGACGUGAAAUCCCCCGGCUCAACCGGGGAACUGCGUCCGAUACUGGUGGGCUCGAAUCCGGGAGAGGGAUGUGGAAUUCUCGGUGUAGAGGUGAAAUUCGUAGAUAUCGAGAGGAACACCGGUGGCGAAGGCGGCCAACUGGACGAAGACUGACGCUGAGACACGAAAGCGUGGGGAGCAAACAGG
rnacentral:rRNA from 1 species